UAAUGACCCACUCUCCAACGUAACUUUAUUAUCAUCAAUGAAAAAAACAGAACAGUUGCAGUGUCUUGACAUACCAAUAAAAGCAUUAUCUCCACUUCCAGUUAGAACUUCUCCUCU
rnacentral:lncRNA from 1 species